GACAGAGGAUGCAAGCGUUAUCCGGAAUGAUUGGGCGUAAAGCGUCUGUAGGUGGCUUUUUAAGUCUGCCGUCAAAUCCCAGGGCUCAACCCUGGACAGGCGGUGGAAACUACCAAGUUGGAGUACGGUAGGGGCAGAGGGAAUUUCCGGUGGAGCGGUGAAAUGCGUAGAUAUGCGGAGGAACACCGAUGGCGAAGGCAAUCCCCUGGGCCUGCACUGACGCUCAUGCACGAAAGCGUGGGGAGCAAACAGG
rnacentral:rRNA from 1 species